AGAGCGAACGCUGGCGGCAUGCUUAACACAUGCAAGUCGCACGGUUCGGGGGGCAACUCCGGGCAGUGGCGGACGGGUGAGUAACGCGUAGGCAUCUAUCCUCGGGUGGGGGACAACCGUGGGAAACUACGGCUAAUACCGCAUGAUGUCCGAGGACCAAAGGCGCCCGGGGAAACUUGGGGGCCGCCUGGGGCGGAGCCUGCGUACGAUUAGCUUGUUGGUGGGGUAAAGGCCUACCAAGGCGACGGUAUCGGUUAGCGUGGUACUGAGAGGACGAAUCAGCCACAGUUGGGACUGAGACACGGCCCCAAACGUCCGUACGGGAGGCAGCAGUGGGGAAUAGUGGACAAGUGGGCGCAAGGCCUGACUCCAGACCAAGUCGCCGGCGUGGUGUACGGAAAG
rnacentral:rRNA from 1 species